rnacentral:lncRNA from 1 species
GUGAGGCCAAUGAUAUGAAAGGUAAUGCUUCCUCGGAGGCUGCACAACCGACAACAGAAUGUGGAAAGAGUGCGUCAGAGCAGGAAGGUGAACCAUCUGUACCAGCCAAGCCUUCCAUCAACUUGGAGGAGAUCAGAGCCGAGAUCAGAGCAGAGAUCAAGGCAAAGAUCGAGGAGGAGGCUUAUAGCAAAGGCUACCAAGAGGGACUAAAGCAAAGCAAAGAGCUCCAGGAAGUGAAGGCAGAAGAGGAGAAAGUUGAGGAGAAAUUGCUGGAGACAGAAAGCAAGGAUGAAGAGGGUGGAAAAAAGAUUAAGACAAACAGGAUGGAGGAGAUCCUGCUCGUCCUUGACCGCUUUUGCCCCAAGAUUUCUUGGAAUAACCGAGUGCUCUGGGCUGUCCUAACGUUGUUCCUGGUGACAUUUCUGAUCGUCAACCUUUUUACCUACUUCAGCGACUACUCCAGCAGCUAUGGGGACACGUCGGCAGAAAAAGACAUUGUCCAAGGCCAGAAGACAAUCUUUGGACUGAAUGUAGCAGCACAACCAAAGAAGCCCACUACAGAAUAACAGAGAGACCCCCAAGCCGUUUCUCCACGCCACGUCUGCAGGGUCUUACCAUGUCACUACACGAGACCUGACUUGAAUCCACGACUCUGACUUUCUACCGUCAAAGAAUGUAGAUUUGGGAGGCUUCUCUGGGUUUGGUAGUGAAGCCUUUUUCACGGUUAACAUAAUUAAGUUAUAAUUUUCUUUUGCUAGGAAAGUGUCCACGUUGUUCAUAGCAACAAGAGGCAAAAAUAAUUUCUGUGUAGGGACCAAUCAUAUAGUGUGAUGAAAUAUACAUACAGUAUAUAUUUAAAUUAGAUGCAUACUUUAUUAUUAUACGUUUGGUUCAGGUACUCUUGAUGGAGUCAAUGUGGUACUGUGGAUUUUCCUUAAAUGCCACAACAGACAGAAGACAAAGUGUAUAUUUAUCGACACUCUAAUGUUUAAUGUAUAAUCUGUCAGGUCCAGUGGAUGAGAAAGCCCCUGAGAGAUUUUUUUUAGUCAUAUUUAAAGAUAUAGAAAUAAAAAGAAUGUUUGUUUUUCUCUAGCAAAAAUUUCUAUAUUGUGUAUUUAAGCAUUUGACAUUUUGAAGACUGUUAAAAUGUAAGCACAUUCCAAAGUAGAUCCUUAAGUGCAAUAUGUUGCAGCUGAUGGUUUCAUGUGUGUUAUUUUGGUUUGUGUCUUCAGAGCACUGAGAGAUUUUCUUUGUAUGAGAGCACUCUAUAGACAGCAUGAGACUUUUUGAUCUUUGCACAUGUGUGCCUACCUGAUGUUUUUUUUUUUGUUUUUGUUUUUUUUUGUUUUGUUUUAUGGUAUGGUUUUAUGCUCCACCACCUC